rnacentral:tRNA from 1 species
UGGCUCGGUGGAAAGAGCCCGGGCUUGGGAGUCGGAGGUCAUGGGUUCGAAUCCCAU